AACCAAAAUGGGAAGUGAACAGCAAACCACUAAAAUGGCGUCUUUUUUCAACAAUUUCCAUCCAAGACUGAUGCAAUCAUAUGAUGCAACUACAAAACAAGUCAACUUUUUUACAUACCUUAAAUCUUGCUAUUUCCAAUUCAUCUCUCUCUCUUUACCCCCUAAGAACUACAGAAGCCUUUCACCAGAUUAUAUAUAUAGUAAGAGAGAAGGAGAGGAGAGAGAGAGGCGGAGUUGCAGGCUUGAGGUGGUAGUGUACGUAGUCAUCAUUUGUUUAAGACCCACCUGGCAAUCAGCAUAGCUUCAUACUUCCAGGUGGUGGAUCCUCUGCUAUUUCAACAAACAACUCUACAAAAAAUACUAAACUAGAUUUUCCCUUUUAUUUCUCCUUACUAUUUUUUGUUUUUCCCGAAAAAUUCCAUAUCCCAAUCCCGAGAUUUUCGAUCCCCCCCACCACCACCCUCCUUAUCCAACCGGGAUUUUUCUGCUGUCUACUUUCUACCUCAUCUAUUAGCGAUCAAGCUUGAAACUUUUAAGAAAAGAAGAAGAAGAAGUGAGGAUUUCUGUUUCUUCUUAAAGAUUGGAGGAGGGUUAUCUUAAAGAUUGGAUUUUGGGAGGAUUCGACGCCAAGUUUUGUGUUAUAAGGUUCUUCUCGUCCCCAAAAUUUAACUAAGGGUAAUUUUCUGUUUGGCCACCAGUCCAAGGGAUUGGGCGUCUGAAUUCUUGAUAGAAAUCCAAUCUUGAUACCUUGUAUAUUGAGUUGGGAAAGUGAGAAUGGUGGGUGCAAAUCUUUUUCAUUAUAGAAAAAAUUCAUGGCCGCCGGAAGAAUACAUUAAUCGAGCAACUUUGCAGUUGUUUGAUAUCGAAGGUGCUGCCCCUCCCGAACACGCAUUGAGAAGAAAAUUAAACAGCCAUGCCAGCAUCCUUAAAGAAUUCAGCAUCACAUUUAGAGAAGCCAUACAAAUGAUUCGACUUGGAAUACGACUAUGGCAUUACGUUAGGGAAGAAGCAUCCCAUGGAAGAAAAGCGCCCAUAGAUCCUUUUACUCGAGAACAUUGCAAACCCUCUGCCUCACAAGGAGUGCCGCUAGGUGGGAUGGGAAGUGGUAGCAUAUCUAGAGGUUUCAGGGGGGAGUUCAGGCAUUUUCAAAUACUUCCUGGUACAUGCGAGACUUCACCGGUGAUGGCCAAUCAAUUCUCUAUCUUCAUAUCUCGUGAUGGAGGAAACAAGAAGUAUUCAUCUGUUUUAUCUCCUGGCAGACAUGAAGGUUUAGGAAAGCCAAGUGAUCAAGGUAUAUCAUCGUGGGGUUGGAAUUUAAAUGGUCAGCAUUCUACAUAUCAUGCUCUAUUCCCCAGGGCGUGGACAGUUUAUGAUGGUGAACCAGACCCUGAGUUAAAAAUAUCUUGUCGGCAGAUAUCACCAUUUAUACCUCAUAAUUAUCGAGAGAGCAGCCUUCCCACAUCUGUAUUUGUGUACACCUUGGUGAAUACAGGGAAGGAGAGGGCCAAAGUCAGCCUUCUUUUUACGUGGGCGAAUUCUAUUGGAGGCACCUCUCAUCUAACGGGAGAUCAUGUCAAUGAGCCAUUUAUUGGUGAAGAUGGAGUAUCAGGCGUGCUGCUACAUCACAAGACGGCAAAAGAUAACCCUCCUGUGACUUAUGCGAUUGCUGCCUGUGAAACCCAGAAUGUGAGCGUCUCAGUUUUGCCCUGUUUUGGCCUAAACGAAGGAAGCUGCGUAACUGCAAAAGAUAUGUGGGGUAAAAUGGUGCAGGAUGGGCACUUUGAUCAAGAGAACUCGAGCAAUGGGCCUAGCAUGCCGUCCUCACCUGGGGAGACCCAUUGUGCUGCAGUUUCUGCUUCUACAUGGGUUGAACCUCAUGGAAAGUGCACAGUUGCAUUUGCUGUUUCUUGGUCGUCUCCUAAAGUUAAAUUUUGCAAGGGGAAGUCCUAUCAUAGGAGGUACACUAAAUACUACGGCACUUCGAAAAAUGCAGCUAAGGACCUGGUCCACGACUCUCUAACAAAAUAUAUGCUGUGGGAAGAAGAGAUUGAAAAAUGGCAAAACCCUAUUCUUAAAGAUGAGAAACUGCCGGAAUGGUACAAGUUUACUCUGUUCAAUGAGCUCUAUUUUCUAGUUGCCGGUGGAACAGUUUGGAUUGACUCGAGCUUACCAGUUGAGGAAUCAGUUGGUAUUAAGUCUGUGAUUACUAACGACAAAAGAUCCAACAAGAAACAAGUGAGAAUAGUUCACAAAUCAGCCGGGCUUGUAAAGGAGACUGCUGUUCAAGAUUCCGAUGCCUCUGUUGAUGUUGAUCGAAACAGGGGUAGAGAAUCUUCGGACGAAGAAGAAUCGAGCUCUUGUGGGAGUGGCGGUGGAGAGAACUCCCUUACGACUUCCCCUAUUAAGUUGGGAAAGCCCGUUAAUGAUGAGGAUGAUGUAGGCAAGUUUCUGUAUUUGGAAGGCGUGGAAUAUAUCAUGUGGUGCACAUACGAUGUCCACUUCUAUGCGUCUUUCGCGCUUCUCGAGCUGUUUCCUAAGAUCGAGCUCAGCAUUCAGCGGGACUUUGCCAAUGCCGUGCUGUUUGAGGAUAGAAGAAAAGUCAAGUUUUUAGCGGAGGGGAAUUAUGGGAUCCGCAAGGUGAAAGGAGCCGUUCCUCAUGAUCUUGGAACUCACGAUCCGUGGCAUGAGAUGAACGCGUACAACAUACACGACACGAGCAGAUGGAAGGAUCUCAACCCCAAGUUUGUUCUUCAGGUGUACAGAGACUUCGCUGCGACAGGAGAUCUUUCUUUUGGAGCGGAUGUCUGGCCUGCCGUCUGCGCUGCAAUCGACUACAUGGACCAAUUUGAUAGGGAUGACGAUGGUAUGAUUGAGAACGACGGGUUCCCGGAUCAAACAUACGACGCUUGGACCGUUCACGGCAUAAGUGCUUACUGUGGCGCCUUAUGGCUCGCCGCACUUCAAUCUGCUGCGACAAUGGCUGUCCAGCUAGGCGACCAAGCCUUCGCCGACAAGUGCAAGAACAAAUUCGUAAAGGCGAAAGCCGUAUUCGAGGAGAAACUAUGGAAUGGGUCGUAUUUCAACUACGACAGCGGGUCUAGCAGUAACAGUAAAUCCAUCCAAGCCGAUCAACUCGCGGGGCAGUGGUACACGGCCGCGUCGGGCUUACCCGAUCUUUUCGAUGAGCGCAAGAUUCGAAGCGCGCUCCAGAAAAUCCACGAUUUCAAUGUCAUGAAAGUGAAAGGAGGCAGAAUCGGGGCGGUCAACGGGAUGCAUCCGAGUGGUAAGGUAGAUGAAAGUUGCAUGCAGUCUCGUGAAGUAUGGACCGGUGUAACGUAUGCCGCGGCUGCCACCAUGAUCCACGCUGGAAUGACGGAGCAGGCUUUCACCACCGCGAAGGGCAUAUUCCUCGCCGGCUGGUCGGAUGAGGGAUAUGGGUACGCUUUUCAGACGCCAGAAGGGUGGACGACAGGCGGGCAUUUCCGUUCCCUCAUAUACAUGAGACCGCUGGCCAUAUGGGCGAUGCAGUGGGCGCUGUCCACGUCCAAGACGCUCCUGAAAGCCCCCACGGUCAUGGCGAUGGACAGAUUGCACGUACCCUCCGAUACUGCAAAUUCGUCCUGCAUCGAGAACAAGAUAGGGAAGAAGCCGUGGUGCUUUGGCAACGCAGUGUUCCACUGUUCGUGCUGAUCGGCCGGCAGGGAAUGACUAAUCUCAUCUAUAUUUGCUUUUCUCUUGGAACAGAAGAAGAGGAUUCAAGGGGAAGUGUCUAAGAAUGUUGCAAGGAAUUGGACCCGGAAUUUUGUGCAUGGCUUCGGAGUCCAGAGUUUUAGCAACUGAAAAUCUGCCUUUUUCAAGGGGUUGAGUUUCUGUCAUAGUCUAAAUAUACAUACAUAAUAAUAUGUGAAUCUAUUAUAUAUUUCGAUUUAUUGAACAAUUUUUUUAAGAUGUAAGAUACAUAUAAUGAAUUAUAUGAGUAUGUAUACAACUCUCCACGAAAAGAUUCCGUAUGAGGAAAAUAAGUAUUCGUUUAUUAUCA